rnacentral:rRNA from 1 species
UACGUAGGCAGCAAGCGUUGUUCGGAAUUACUGGGCGUAAAGAGUGUGUAGGCGGUGCUCUAAGUUCGGUGUGAAAUCUCCCGGCUUAACUGGGAGGGUGCGCCGGAAACUGGAGUGCUUGAGCGCGGGAGAGGAAAGCGGAAUUCCUGGUGUAGCGGUGAAAUGCGUAGAUAUCAGGAGGAACACCGGUGGCGAAGGCGGGUCUCUGGGCCGAAACUGACGCUGAGGAGCGAAAGCGUGGGGAGCAAACAGG